ACGGAAGGCAGCAGUAAGGAAUAUUGGUCAAUGGACGCAAGUCUGAACCAGCCAUGCCGCGUGGAGGAUGAAGGUCCUCUGGAUUGUAAACUUCUUUUAUUUGGGAAGAAAUCCACUUUUUCUAAGGUGGUUGACGGUACCAGAUGAAUAAGCACCGGCUAACUCCGUGCCAGCAGCCGCGGUAAUACGGAGGGUGCAAGCGUUAUCCGGAUUCACUGGGUUUAAAGGGUGCGUAGGUGGGUAAGUAAGUCAGUGGUGAAAUCUCCGGGCUUAACCCGGAAACUGCCAUUGAUACUAUUUGUCUUGAAUACUGUGGAGGUCAGCGGAAUAUGUCAUGUAGCGGUGAAAUGCUUAGAUAUGACAUAGAACACCAAUUGCGAAGGCAGCUGGCUACACAAAUAUUGACACUGAGGCACGAAAGCGUGGGGAUCAAACAGGAUUAGAUACCCUGGUA
rnacentral:rRNA from 1 species